rnacentral:rRNA from 1 species
CUUGCGCCAGCUAUAAUGCAGUCGAGCGAAUGGAUUAAGAGCUUGCUCUUAUGAAGUUAGCGGCGGACGGGUGAGUAACACGUGGGUAACCUGCCCAUAAGACUGGGAUAACUCCGGGAAACCGGGGCUAAUACCGGAUAACAUUUUGAACCGCAUGGUUCGAAAUUGAAAGGCGGCUUCGGCUGUCACUUAUGGAUGGACCCGCGUCGCAUUAGCUAGUUGGUGAGGUAACGGCUCACCAAGGCAACGAUGCGUAGCCGACCUGAGAGGGUGAUCGGCCACACUGGGACUGAGACACGGCCCAGACUCCUACGGGAGGCAGCAGUAGGGAAUCUUCCGCAAUGGACGAAAGUCUGACGGAGCAACGCCGCGUGAGUGAUGAAGGCUUUCGGGUCGUAAAACUCUGUUGUUAGGGAAGAACAAGUGCUAGUUGAAUAAGCUGGCACCUUGACGGUACCUAACCAGAAAGCCACGGCUAACUACGUGCCAGCAGCCGCGGUAAUACGUAGGUGGCAAGCGUUAUCCGGAAUUAUUGGGCGUAAAGCGCGCGCAGGUGGUUUCUUAAGUCUGAUGUGAAAGCCCACGGCUCAACCGUGGAGGGUCAUUGGAAACUGGGAGACUUGAGUGCAGAAGAGGAAAGUGGAAUUCCAUGUGUAGCGGUGAAAUGCGUAGAGAUAUGGAGGAACACCAGUGGCGAAGGCGACUUUCUGGUCUGUAACUGACACUGAGGCGCGAAAGCGUGGGGAGCAAACAGGAUUAGAG